AGUGCGUUAGUAUCGCCUAGUCUAUUAAAACUCUGACAUGCGGGGUAACAUAUGCUUAUACACUAAAAAUUACUGAUAAGGACUGAAACAAUACAGGAGCAGGGCUGUUCUGAAUGUCUAUGCUUCCGGCUAAAUGAGUCCUAGAUGUUGUCGAGUUAGGUUGGGCCAUCCACAUCUGGGACCCAUGGGCACCUCUGUGACUGGGGGCCCUCUUUUGCCUCCACCCUGGGCAAACUCCAGUCUGUCAGUGGGUAGAUCCGUGGCACCGUGGGCACUCGGUUGCG